GAUGAACGCUGGCGGCGUGCCUAAUACAUGCAAGUCGAGCGAACGGACGAGAAGCUUGCUUCUCUGAUGUUAGCGGCGGACGGGUGAGUAACACGUGGAUAACCUACCUAUAAGACUGGGAUAACUUCGGGAAACCGGAGCUAAUACCGGAUAAUAUUUUGAACCGCAUGGUUCAAAAGUAAAAGACGGUCUUGCUGUCACUUAUAGAUGGAUCCGCGCUGCAUUAGCUAGUUGGUAAGGUAACGGCUUACCAAGGCAACGAUGCAUAGCCGACCUGAGAGGGUGAUCGGCCACACUGGAACUGAGACACGGUCCAGACUCCUACGGGAGGCAGCAGUAGGGAAUCUUCCGCAAUGGGCGAAAGCCUGACGGAGCAACGCCGCGUGAGUGAUGAAGGUCUUCGGAUCGUAAAACUCUGUUAUUAGGGAAGAACAUAUGUGUAAGUAACUGUGCACAUCUUGACGGUACCUAAUCAGAAAGCCACGGCUAACUACGUGCCAGCAGCCGCGGUAAUACGUAGGUGGCAAGCGUUAUCCGGAAUUAUUGGGCGUAAAGCGCGCGUAGGCGGUUUUUUAAGUCUGAUGUGAAAGCCCACGGCUCAACCGUGAAGGGUCAUUGGAAACUGGAAAACUUGAGUGCAGAAGAGGAAAGUGGAAUUCCAUGUGUAGCGGUGAAAUGCGCAGAGAUAUGGAGGAACACCAGUGGCGAAGGCGACUUUCUGGUCUGUAACUGACGCUGAUGUGCGAAAGCGUGGGGAUCAAACAGGAUUAGAUACCCUGGUAGUCCACGCCGUAAACGAUGAGUGCUAAGUGUUAGGGGGUUUCCGCCCCUUAGUGCUGCAGCUAACGCAUUAAGCACUCCGCCUGGGGAGUACGACCGCAAGGUUGAAACUCAAAGGAAUUGACGGGGACCCGCACAAGCGGUGGAGCAUGUGGUUUAAUUCGAAGCAACGCGAAGAACCUUACCAAAUCUUGACAUCCUUUGACAACUCUAGAGAUAGAGCCUUCCCCUUCGGGGGACAAAGUGACAGGUGGCGCAUGGUUGUCGUCAGCUCGUGUCGUGAGAUGUUGGGUUACGUCCCGCAACGAGCGCAACCCUUAAGCUUAGUUGCCAUCAUUAAGUUGGGCACUCUAAGUUGACUGCCGGUGACAAACCGGAGGAAGGUGGGGAUGACGUCAAAUCAUCAUGCCCCUUAUGAUUUGGGCUACACACGUGCUACAAUGGACAAUACAAAGGGCAGCGAAACCGCGAGGUCAAGCAAAUCCCAUAAAGUUGUUCUCAGUUCGGAUUGUAGUCUGCAACUCGACUACAUGAAGCUGGAAUCGCUAGUAAUCGUAGAUCAGCAUGCUACGGUGAAUACGUUCCCGGGUCU
rnacentral:rRNA from 1 species